CAGUGUACCCGCGGCAAGACGGAAAGACCCCGUGAACCUUUACUAUAGCUUGACACUGAACAUUGAGCCUUGAUGUGUAGGAUAGGUGGGAGGCUUUGAAGUGUGGACGCCAGUCUGCAUGGAGCCGGCCUUGAAAUACCACCCUUUAAUGUUUGAUGUUCUAACGUUGACCCGUGAUCCGGGUUGCGGACAGUGUCUGGUGGGUAGUUUGACUGGGGCGGUCUCCUCCUAAAGAGUAACGGAGGAGCACGAAGG
rnacentral:rRNA from 1 species